GGAGUUAGCCCAGUGGUAGAGCACUUGCCUAAAAUGUAUCAGGCCCUGGAUUCAAUUCUCAGCACUACA
rnacentral:tRNA from 1 species